CGGAUGUAGCUCAGUUGGUUAGAGCGCUGGAUUGUGGCUCCGGAGGCCGUGGGUUCGACCCCCAUCAUU
rnacentral:tRNA from 1 species